rnacentral:rRNA from 1 species
AACGAACGCUGGCGGCAUGCCUAACACAUGCAAGUCGAACGAUGCCUUCGGGCAUAGUGGCGCACGGGUGCGUAACGCGUGGGAAUCUGCCCUUGGCUUCGGAAUAACAGUUAGAAAUGACUGCUAAUACCGGAUGAUGUCCCCCUGAGAGAUCUUGGUUACCAAAGAUUUAUCGGCCAGGGAUGAGCCCGCGUAGGAUUAGGUAGUUGGUGGGGUAAAGGCCUACCAAGCCGACGAUCCUUAGCUGGUCUGAGAGGAUGAUCAGCCACACUGGGACUGAGACACGGCCCAGACUCCUACGGGAGGCAGCAGUGGGGAAUAUUGGACAAUGGGGGGAACACUGAUCCAGCAAUGCCGCGUGAGUGAUGAAGGCCUUAGGGUUGUAAAGCUCUUUUAACAGGGAUGAUAAUGACAGUACCUGGAGAAUAAGCUCCGGCUAACUCCGUG